rnacentral:lncRNA from 1 species
GGAAUUUGCCUAGGAUCACACAGCUAAGUUCAGCCGAUCACAAAGCUGUGCCCUGAACCAUUGCUACCCAAAGCAUCAGAAAGUGCCAGAUGGACAUGAACAAAGCCAGGAUCAACCCGAAGAUGCCCAGCAGUACAGCCAGGCAGAUCACCGUCAGCAUCGACAUGCUCAAGGCCCCAGGCUUGCGGGCUGAGUCCCUCAGGUGGUCCACACUGGUGACAAACAUGACCCUCAACAGGGCUCGGGUCUGUAAGGGGGGGCUUCCCUGGUCCUCUACUACUAUCUCCAGCUCCCACUCACUCCCAAUGAGGCUGCUGGCAUUGGUGACAUUGACGAACAGCUGCCCCGUAUGAGGGUUGAGGAUGAAGAGGUGGGCUUCAUUUCCACUGCGGAUGCUGUAGAGGGGCUCUCCAUUUGCCCCCGAGUCUGCAUCUCUUGCCACAAUGGUUGUCAAAAGGAAUGGCCGGGAGCUGUGAGUGGCCAGUGGAGGUGUGUCAGUGCCUGCUGGACCCAAGCCAUUGGGAGUCUCGAUGGGCACCAGCAGGUGGCCUGUGGAGGCAUUCACAAGCACGGAGAGGCUGGCUUUUCCAUCGCUGAGUACAGGCUGGACCACCUCUGGGGCAUUAUCAUUGGCAUCCAAGAGGCUGACCCACACAGAGACACUGGAUGCAAGCAUGGGUUGCCCACUGUCCUCUGCGAUCACCUGGAACUCGAAGCCGGCCAUCUCUUCAUAGUUCAGUGACCUCUGAGCAGUGACCUCUCCUGUGUUGGAGUCAAUAGCUACUAAGUGAGCAACUGGGGAGUCCUGGAUGCGGUAUGAGACUUUUCCAUUAAUGCCCAAGUCUGCAUCAUGAGCCUUGAUGGUAAUGAGGUGAAGAGAGGGUAAGUUGUUUUCCCGCGUGGAGACUUCAUACCUGCUUUUCUCAAACACAGGUGCAUUGUCG